CUUGGAUCCUCAAUGUGCGUCCUAACACAAGCAUUGUUUUGCCUGGGACAACAUGCAACAUUAUAGUUACAAUGCAAGCCCAAAAAGAAGCUCUGCCUGAUAUGCAAUGCAAAGACAAGUUCCUCUUUCAGAGUGUCAUUGCAAGUCAUGGUGCAACCACAAAGGACCAUGUAUUUUCUCUAGGAGUGGAGCACAUCAUGGAGAAUUUUUUAUUUAUUUUUAAUGUAUUCGGGCAAUUGUAAACUUAUUGUUGUAAAUAUAUAUAAUUUUUAUUAUAAAGUUGUACCAUAUUUUUUCAA